rnacentral:rRNA from 1 species
CAGUCGCCGCGGGAAUACGAAGGGUGCAAGCGUUACUCGGAAUUACUGGGCGUAAAGCGUGCGUAGGUGGUUGUUUAAGUCUGUUGUGAAAGCCCUGGGCUCAACCUGGGAAUUGCAGUGGAUACUGGGCAACUAGAGUGUGGUAGAGGGUAGUGGAAUUCCCGGUGUAGCAGUGAAAUGCGUAGAGAUCGGAAGGAACAUCUGUGGCGAAGGCGACUAUCUGGGCCAACACUGACACUGAGGCACGAAAGCGUGGGGAGCAAACAGGAUUAGAUACCCGGGUAGUCCCUGUCUCUUAUAC